UGCAAGUCGAGCGGUAAGGCCCUUCGGGGUACACGAGCGGCGAACGGGUGAGUAAACGUGAGCAACCUGCCCCUGACUCCGGGAUAAGCGGUGGAAACGCCGUCUAAUACCGGAUACGACCCCCGGGUGCAUACCCGAGGGUGGAAAGUUUUUUCGGUCAGGGAUGGGCUCGCGGCCUAUCAGCUUGUUGGUGGGGUAAAGGCCUACCAAGGCGAUUACGGGUAGCCGGCCUGAGAGGGCGACCGGCCACACUGGGACUGAGACACGGCCCAGACUCCUGCGGGAGGCAGCAGUGGGGAAUCUUGCGCAAUGGGCGAAAGCCUGACGCAGCGACGCCGCGUGGGGGAUGACGGCCUUCGGGUUGUAAACCUCUUUUACCACUCACGCAGGCCCGGGGUUCUCUCCGGGUUGACGGUAGGUGGGGAAUAAGGACCGGCUAACUACGUGCCAGCAGCCGCGGUAAUACGUAGGGUCCGAGCGUUGUCCGGAAUUAUUGGGCGUAAAGAGCUCGUAGGCGGCGUGUCGCGUCUGCUGUGAAAGACCGGGGCUUAACUCCGGUUUUGCAGUGGAUACGGGCAUGCUAGAGGUAGGUAGGGGAGACUGGAAUUCCUGGUGUAGCGGUGAAAUGCGCAGAUAUCAGGAGGAACACCGGUGGCGAAGGCGGGUCUCUGGGCCUUACCUGACGCUGAGGAGCGAAAGCAUGGGGAGCGAACAGGAUUAGAUACCCUGGUAGUCCAUGCCGUAAACGAUGGGCGCUAGGUGUGGGGACUUUCCACGGUUUCCGCGCCGUAGCUAACGCAUUAAGCGCCCCGCCU
rnacentral:rRNA from 1 species